rnacentral:pre_miRNA from 1 species
AUUCUACUCCCUNCCGUUGCACAAUACAUGCCUUCUAUUUGUCAAAAUAUAUAUGUAUCUAGACAUGUUUUAGUAUAUAGGCACAUCCAUUUUUGGACAAAUGGAAGUCAAGUAUUUUGGAAUGGAGGGAGUACACA